rnacentral:rRNA from 1 species
UACGUAGGAUGCAAGCGUUGUCCGGAAUUAUUGGGCGUAAAGCGAACGUAGGCGGCUUCUUAAGUUUGGUCUUAAAGACCGGGGCUCAACCCCGGGAAUGGACUGAAUACUGGGAGGCUGGAGGAUGUCAGGGGAAAGUGGAAUUCCCAGUGUAGCGGUGAAAUGCGUAGAUAUGCGGAGGAACACCGAUGGCGAAGGCAAUCCCCUGGACCUGUACUGACGCUCAUGCACGAAAGCGUGGGGAGCAAACAGG